AGUGAACGCUGGCGGCAGGCCUAACACAUGCAAGUCGAGCGGCCGCACAGUAAGAGUUCGCUCCUAACGGUGGCGAGUGGCGGGUGAGUGAGGCAUACAUCGCAAACUACUUUUUCGGGGGUGAUAACGUAAGGAAACAUCUGCUAACACCGCAUAUGUUCAACGGAUGAAAUCAGGGGAUCUUCGGACUUUUGCCGUUUGAAUGAGACGGUGUCGGAUUAGCUAGUUGGCGUGGUAAAGGCCCACCAAGGCGACGAUGCGUAGCCGGCCUGAGAGGAUGAUCAGCCACACUGGAACUGAGACACGGUCCAGACUCCUACGGGAGGCAGCAGUAGGGAAUCUUGCGCAAUGGGCGAAAGCCUGAUCGAGCAACACCGCGUGAGUGAUGAAGGUCUUCGGAUUGUAAAGCUCUGUUGUUAGGAAAGAAAAAAAGUGUAUUUAACCCUGCCCGUUCUGACGGUACCCAAAGAAUAAGCCACGGCUAACUUCGUG
rnacentral:rRNA from 1 species